rnacentral:rRNA from 1 species
GAUGAACGCUGGCGGCGUGCUUAACACAUGCAAGUCGAACGGUGAAAGCGGAGCUUGCUCUGCUGGAUCAGUGGCGAACGGGUGAGUAACACGUGAGCAACCUGCCCCGGACUCUGGGAUAACAGUUGGAAACAGCUGCUAAUACCGGAUACGAGCUGCGAAGGCAUCUUCAGCAGCUGGAAAGAACUUCGGUCUGGGAUGGGCUCGCGGCCUAUCAGCUUGUUGGUGAGGUAAUGGCUCACCAAGGCGUCGACGGGUAGCCGGCCUGAGAGGGUGACCGGCCACACUGGGACUGAGACACGGCCCAGACUCCUACGGGAGGCAGCAGUGGGGAAUAUUGCACAAUGGGCGCAAGCCUGAUGCAGCAACGCCGCGUGAGGGACGACGGCCUUCGGGUUGUAAACCUCUUUCAGCUGGGAAGAUAAUGACGGUACCAGCAGAAGAAGCCCCGGCUAACUCCGUGCCAGCCGCC